GAUGAACGCUGGCGGCGUGCCUAAUACAUGCAAGUCGGGCGAACGGACGAGAAGCUUGCUUCUCUGAUGUUAGCGGCGGACGGGUGAGUAACACGUGGAUAACCUACCUAUAAGACUGGGAUAACUUCGGGAAACCGGAGCUAAUACCGGACAAUAUUUUGAACCGCAUGGUUCAAAAGUGAAAGACGGUCUUGCUGUCACUUAUAGAUGGAUCCGCGCUGCAUUAGCUAGUUGGUAAGGUAACGGCUUACCAAGGCAACGAUGCAUAGCCGACCUGAGAGGGUGAUCGGCCACACUGGAACUGAGACACGGUCCAGACUCCUACGGGAGGCAGCAGUAGGGAAUCUUCCGCAAUGGGCGAAAGCCUGACGGAGCAACGCCGCGUGAGUGAUGAAGGUCUUCGGAUCGUAAAACUCUGUUAUUAGGGAAGAACAUAUGUGUAAGUAACUGUGCACAUCUUGACGGUACCUAAUCAGAAAGCCACGGCUAACUACGUG
rnacentral:rRNA from 1 species